rnacentral:rRNA from 1 species
AUGAACGCUGGCGGCGUGCCUAAUACAUGCCAGUCGAGCGAACGGACGAGAAGCUUGCUUCUCUGAUGUUAGCGGCGGACGGGUGAGUAACACGUGGAUAACCUACCUAUAAGACUGGGAUAACUUCGGGAAACCGGAGCUAAUACCGGAUAAUAUUUUGAACCGCAUGGUUCAAAAGUAAAAGACGGUCUUGCUGUCACUUAUAGAUGGAUCCGCGCUGCAUUAGCUAGUUGGUAAGGUAACGGCUUACCAAGCCAACGAUGCAUAGCCGACCUGAGAGGGUGAUCGGCCACACUGGAACUGAGACACGGUCCAGACUCCUACGGGAGGCAGCAGUAGGGAAUCUUCCGCAAUGGGCGAAAGCCUGACGGAGCAACGCCGCGUGAGUGAUGAAGGUCUUCGGAUCGUAAAACUCUGUUAUUAGGGAAGAACAUAUGUGUAAGUAACUGUGCACAUCUUGACGGUACCUAAUCAGAAAGCCACGGCUAACUACGUG